rnacentral:rRNA from 1 species
CAAAACAUGUCCUAUAGAUUUUAAUUUUAGGUCUAACCUGCCCACUGAUAUUAUUAAAUGGCCGCAGUAUUCUAACUGUGCAAAGGUAGCAUAAUCAUUAGUCUUUUAAUUGAAGGCUUGUAUGAAUGGUUGGACGAAAUAUAAACUGUCUCAUAUUAAAUUUAUAAUAGAAUUUUAUUUUUUAGUUAAAAAGCUAAAAUUUUGUUGAAAGACGAGAAGACCCUAUAGAUCUUUAUAAAUAUAAUAUUUAUUAUUAUUUAGAUUUAUUAAAUAUUAAUUAUUAUAUUUAUUUUGUUGGGGUGACAUUAAAAUUUAUAUAACUUUUAAUUUAUUUUUACAUUUAUUUAUGAGUUACAUGAUCCAUUAUUAGUGAUUAUAAAAUUAAGUUACCUUAGGGAUAACAGCGUAAUCUUUUUAGAGAGUUCAUAUCGAUAAAAAGGUUUGCGACCUCGAUGUUGGAUUAAAAUUAAUCUUGGGUGUAGCAGUUCAAGAUAUUAAGUCUGUUCGACUUUUAAUUUUUUACAUGAUCU